rnacentral:sRNA from 12 species
UCCUGACAGUCGCAUUGGGCGGCUGACACUAGCCACGACAGGAGAUACUUAAAUG